CCCAGAGGUAUUGAUUGGUGAGAAAUCAGCAUACUCUGUAUGUUGAAGCCAUUUUCAAUUGCACCAACCUACGCGGAUGCGUAGGUUUUUUUU
rfam:Serratia proteamaculans 568, complete genome.